rnacentral:rRNA from 1 species
GAUGAACGCUGGCGGCGUGCUUAACACAUGCAAGUCGAGCGAACGGACGAGAAGUUUGCGUCUCUGAUGUUAGCGGCGGACGGGUGAGUAACGAGUGGAUAAUCUCCCUUUAAGACUGGGAUAAUUUCGGGAAACCGGCGCCAAUACCGGAGAAUAUUUUGCACCGCAUGGUUCAAAAGAGAAUUUCGGUCUUGCUGUAACUACUAGAUGGAUCCGCGCUGUAUUAGCUAGUUGGUAAGGUAACGGCUUAUCAAGGCAACGAUGGAUAGCCGAGUUAACAGGGUGAUCGGCCACACUGGAGCGGAGACGCGGCCCAGACUCCUGAGGUAGGCAGCAGUCGAGAAUCGUCCGCAAUGGGGGAGAGCCUGACAGAGCACCGCCGCGUGAGUUAUGAAGAUCCUCGGAUCGUAAAACUCUGUUAUUAGGGGAGAACAUAUGUGUAAGUAACUGUGCAGAUCUUGACGGUACCUAAUCAGAAAGCCACGGCUAACUACGUG